GGAAGAUAAAGUUUUUUGAGAGAAGAAAGAUAGAAAGAAGAAUUAGGCGCCUGGAGAAAGUGCAACGAGCUUCAUCUGGUCAGGCGCAGGAUGUAGAGAUUGCGGAACAGCUUUCUAAAUUGAAAGAAGAUCUUGAAUAUGUUAGGUUUUUUCCCAAGAGUGAGAAAUAUGUAUCUUUGUUUAAUGGAGGUGACGAUUCGAACAUAGUUGAUAGGAGAAAUGGAUUGCGUAAACAGAUUAAAGCCAACUUAAGUGCUGCUGCAGCUAGUGGGAAGGAUUUGG
rnacentral:misc_RNA from 1 species